UGGGGAAUUUUGGACAAUGGGGGAAACCCUGAUCCAGCCAUCCCGCGUGUGCGAUGAAGGCCUUCGGGUUGUAAAGCACUUUUGGCAGGAAAGAAACGUCGCGGGUUAAUACCCCGCGAAACUGACGGUACCUGCAGAAUAAGCACCGGCUAACUACGUGCCAGCAGCCGCGGUAAUACGUAGGGUGCAAGCGUUAAUCGGAAUUACUGGGCGUAAAGCGUGCGCAGGCGGUUCGGAAAGAAAGAUGUGAAAUCCCAGAGCUUAACUUUGGAACUGCAUUUUUAACUACCGGGCUAGAGUGUGUCAGAGGGAGGUGGAAUUCCGCGUGUAGCAGUGAAAUGCGUAGAUAUGCGGAGGAACACCGAUGGCGAAGGCAGCCUCCUGGGAUAACACUGACGCUCAUGCACGAAAGCGUGGGGAGCAAACAGGAUUAGAUACCCUGGUAGUCCACGCCCUAAACGAUG
rnacentral:rRNA from 1 species